rnacentral:lncRNA from 1 species
AGACGUUACUGCCCUCUUGCGUGCCCCGGCCACCCCCGGGCGGCUUGUAGCCGGUGCGCGGGGUGGCUGGGGCUACGUGCAGAGCUGUCGCGGAGCCGGAACAGCAGCGGUGAAGCCCCUCGGCUCGGCCGAGACCGCCGUGCCCAUUGCUCGCCUCGGUUGCCGCCGCUUUAGCCGCAGCCGCUGCUGCCGCCGCCGGGGGAGAGGCAGCCUAUUGUCUUUCUCCGCGGCGAAGGUGAGGAGCUGUCUCGGCUCGGCCCGCGGGGGAGCCCCGGGAGCCGCACGGAGAUGGAGGAGGACAUCUGGACAGUGAGCAGGAGGCGCCUCGGCCCAUGCCGAACAUCCCAGGGGACCUGGAGAGCCGGGAGGCCAUGGUGGCAUUUUUCAACUCCGCUGGAGCCAGUGCCCAGGAGGAACAAAGGGUGUGCUGCCAGCCCCUGGCUCACCCAGUGGCCUCGUCCCAGAAGAAGCCAGAGGUAGCGGCCCCAGCCCCAGAGAGUGGGGGUGAGUCUGUGUUUGGGGAGACCCACCGGGCCCUGCAGGGGGCCAUGGAGAAGCUGCAGGAAAGUACAUCAGCCAGGGGGCAGUGUCAGAGACGCAGCACUGGGAGAGGAGGACAUCGUCAGGCUGGCCCAGGACCAGGAGGAGAUGAAGGUGAACCUGCAGGAGCUGCGGGGCAGGUGUUGCAGCUUGUGGGCGACCACAAGGAGGGGCAUGGCAAAUUUUGACCAUUGCCCAGAACCCUGCUGAUGAGCCCACUCUAGGAGCCCCAGUAGCCCAGGAGCUUGGGUGUGCUGACGAGCAGGGUGGCUUUUAUCCUAGAUCACCACUGGAUUGCUGACAGAUAGAGGAGGUGGGACCCUGACUAUCACCCCUAAUCUGCAGUGGAUUUGGCUCUCGGCACUCCCAGGCUGGGAGCUGGAUACCUGCCCUGGCAGCAUGGCUCAGACUGCAUGACAGUCACAGACUCGCCUCUGCUCCUGUGGUCCAGUGGCCGGACACCCCCUGGGAUGGCUCAAAGGAGUCAGGACUUGGAAGUGGGGACAUCAGGGUAGCUGAAGGAAAUCCACACACCCAGAGCAUCUCGGAGUUCAGACUCUCAGACCUGAAGUAGGCGCCCCCGGGACUGGGCUAGGAGUUGGACGGAAUGGAGGAUGGAGGACAGCGAGAAGAAAGGAAGAGAAAUGCAAAGUGUGGGCAGCCGCCAAGAGUGAAAAUAGAGGGAAGUGUCAUGCAAGUGCUGGACAGAAGGCGGCAGGUGGGACGAGCCCCACAGCCCCCUCCUCAAAAACGACCACCUCCAGGACUCAGUGAUCCCUGGGGGGCAGGCUCUGCCAGCCCUCGGCCACACGUGGCUCCGGCACCCAUGGUCCCAGUGCCUUGGAUGGAGACGGCCAGUUCUGGCGGCCAGAUGUGGUGCUCUGGAAUCCAGUCCCAUUUCCUUCCUGGCCACGCCUGUCCAGCGGCCUCUUUGGCUGCAUUCAGCCCCUACUUACCUGGGGACCCCGGCUGGGGCACAAGAGCACCAGGGGGGUAGGGCCCAAAGGGAUCAGGGGAAGCCUCUGGCCUGGAGGGUAUGGGGCACACUUCCCCAAGGGCGGACCCAGCAGGAGGAAGCCCAGGAGCUGGGUCCUGCCGCCCAGGAGCUGGGCCCUGCCACCCAGGCCGGGCUAGGGACAUGGCAGGGCCUGGGCAUCCUGGCGCUGGACUUGGGCGACCUGGGAGGCACAGGGAGGGGAGAGAUGGGCGGCCCCGCCCCAGCGCAGUGCCGGCCACACCCAUGCACUGAAGCUCCUCCCUGCCACACCCCAAGGCGGUUGCCGGAGCUUAAGCCCCGCCCCCAGCAGCGAGAACAUCCCACCCCUCCCCCCCCCCCCCCCGCAGCCAGUGCUCCUUGUCAAGCUCCCCCCGUCACUCCAGGUGGGAGCCACCCCGGUGAGGGGGUGUGCCACUUGUCCCCAGGGCACUCCUCUGGGCAUCCCGGGUGGGGGAUUUUGGGGCCGUGGGGGGCAGUCUCUGGUACCUGUGUGCGUCAGGGAUGCUCUGCACCUGCAACCAGGUGUCGUCCACGGGCGGGGGCAUGGUAACAGUGGUCCUGUUGAUGUCACCGAUGAUGCUGAGCGCCUCCUUCAGCGCGUGGUGCAUGUGCAGCAUCUCGUCGUGCUGCUGUGCCUGCUCUGCCAACUCCUCCAUCAGUGUGUUCUGGUUCCCACAUGAGUACAUAUUGGCCAGCGGCUCCGAGAUGAUGAACUCCGGGGUCUGAGAGUGGGCAAACAGGGAAGAAGGUUGGGACCUGGUGCCUGUGCCGCCCUGGCUGCCUUGCUGGGCCCUUCUGGGACUGUGCGCUGGACUUGGAGCCCCUUGGAGUAUGGCUUUUCACACGGGCUUCUAUACCGCUUCGACUGGAAGAUCCACCUCCCCACUGCCUUUUCUCACUCAGAUGGGGACACCGAGGUCCAGAGGAAAAGACACCUGUCAAAUGUCACAGAUCUGGGAGGGGACUUAAGACCUAUCAUGCCAAGAGG